rnacentral:rRNA from 1 species
GACGAACGCUGGCGGCGUGCUUAACACAUGCAAGUCGAACGGACAGACCCUGCUUUUGUUGGGCUCUCGAUUGGCGAGCGGGUGAGUAACACGUGAGUAACCUGCCCUUAUCUUUCGGGUAACUUCAGGAAACUGGGGCUCAUACCGGGUAGGAUCUCCUGCUGCAUAUUGGGGAUUGGAAAGUUUCGGCGGUUGGGGAUGGACUCGCGGCUUAUCAGCUUGUUGGUGGGGUAGGGGCUUACAAAGGCUUUGAAGGGUAGCCGGCCUGAGAGGGUGACCGGCCACAUGGGGACUGAGAUAGGGACCAGACGCGUACGGGAGGCAGUAGUGGGGAAUAUUGCACAAUGGGCGGAAGCCUGAUGCAGCAAUGCCGCGUGCGGGAUGACGGCUUUCGGGUUGUAAACAGAUUUCGCCUGUGACGAAGCGGGAGUGACGGUAAUGGGUAAAGAAGCAACGGCUAACUACGUG